rnacentral:rRNA from 1 species
UGGGGGAUAUUGCACAAUGGGCGAAAGCCUGAUGCAGCGACGCCGCGUGGAGGAUGAAGGCUUUCGGGUUGUAAACCUCUUUCGCUAUCGAACAAGGCCCGCUUAGGGUGGGUUGAGGGUAGGUGGAGAAGAAGCGCCGGCUAACUACGUGCCAGCAGCCGCGGUAAUACGUAGGGCGCGAGCGUUGUCCGGAAUUAUUGGGCGUAAAGGGCUUGUAGGCGGCUUGUUGCGCAUGCUGUGAAAACGCGGGGCUUAACUUCGCGCGUGCAGUGGGUACGGGCGGGCUUGAGUGUGGUAGGGGUGACUGGAAUUCCAGGUGUAGCGGUGGAAUGCGCAGAUAUCUGGAGGAACACCGAUGGCGAAGGCAGGUCACUGGGCCAUUACUGACGCUGAGGAGCGAAAGCAUGGGUAGCGAACAGG